CGGGGAUUAGCUCAGAAGGCUUAGAGCGCUGUGUUCGGGACGCAGAGGUCGGCGGUUCAAGUCCGCCAUCCCCGA
rnacentral:tRNA from 1 species